GGUAAACUUUAACUCCUUGGAUGUUAAAUAUGUUCUUGUUGUCUUCGGAGGUCUUGUUGGAUAUCCGAGUGAUGACAUUAAUAAGUUCCUGUGGAUGGUUCACAUAGGAGUGGGGGUAUUCCCUCACAUCAAGGAACCUGAUUAUCUGAGAGAUGGACAGUACCAGAUUGAUUCUCAAGCCACUCCUACCAUGCUAAAUUGCCUCAUGUACAAACUGUCAUAUUUCAGAUUUGUGGAGACAGAUGCUAAAGGCUUUGAUCGACUAAGGUGGACUGAUAUUGGGAAGAAAUAUUUCAAACUCACCCAUUU